AAUCAACGCUGGCGGCGUGCCUAACACAUGCAAGUCGAACGCGAAAGCCCCGCAAGGGGUAAGUAGAGUGGCCAACGGGUGAGUAACACGUGGGUGACCUGCCUUCGAGUGGGGGAUAACGUCCCGAAAGGGACGCUAAUACCGCAUGGCAUCCUGCUUUUGAAAAAGCGGAGAUCAAAGCUGGGGAUCGCAAGACCUAGCGCUUGAAGAGGGGCCCGCGCCUGAUUAGCUAGUUGGUGAGGUAACGGCUCACCAAGGCGACGAUCAGUAUCCGGCCUGAGAGGGCGGACGGACACACUGGGACUGAGACACGGCCCAGACUCCUACGGGAGGCAGCAGUGGGGAAUUGUUCGCAAUGGGCGCAAGCCUGACGACGCAACGCCGCGUGGAGGACGAAGAUCUUCGGGUCGUAAACUCCUGUCGAGCGGGACGAACGCUUCGCGGAUGAAUAAUCCGCGGAAUUGACGGUACCGCUAAAGGAAGCCCCGGCUAACUCCGUG
rnacentral:rRNA from 1 species